rnacentral:rRNA from 1 species
GCGUGCCCUAUACAUGNCAGUCGAGCGAAUGGAUUAAGAGCUUGCUCUUAUGAAGUUAGCGGCGGACGGGUGAGUAACACGUGGGUAACCUGCCCAUAAGACUGGGAUAACUCCGGGAAACCGGGGCUAAUACCGGAUAACAUUUUGAACCGCAUGGUUCGAAAUUGAAAGGCGGCUUCGGCUGUCACUUAUGGAUGGACCCGCGUCCCAUUAGCUAGUCGGUGAGGAUACGGCUCACCAAGGCAAUGAUUCCUACCCUACCUGAGAGGGUGAUCCGCCAC